rnacentral:rRNA from 1 species
GUAUCAUGGCUCAGGAUGAACGCUAGCUACAGGCUUAACACAUGCAAGUCGAGGGGCAGCAUGAACUUAGCUUGCUAAGUUUGAUGGCGACCGGCGCACGGGUGAGUAACACGUAUCCAACCUGCCGAUGACUCGGGGAUAGCCUUUCGAAAGAAAGAUUAAUACCCGAUGGCAUAGUUCUUUCCGCAUGGUAGAACUAUUAAAGGAAGUUUCGGUUCAUCGAUGGGGAGUGCGUUCCAUUAGG